AGUGAACGCUGGCGGUAGGCCUAACACAUGCAAGUCGAACGGCAGCACAGUAAGAGCUUGCUCUUACGGGUGGCGAGUGGCGGACGGGUGAGGAAUACAUCGGAAUCUACUUUUUCGUGGGGGAUAACGUAGGGAAACUUACGCUAAUACCGCAUACGACCUACGGGUGAAAGCAGGGGAUCUUCGGACCUUGCGCGAUUGAAUGAGCCGAUGUCGGAUUAGCUAGUUGGCGGGGUAAAGGCCCACCAAGGCGACGAUCGUAGCUGGUCUGAGAGGAUGAUCAGCCACACUGGAACUGAGACACGGUCCAGACUCCUACGGGAGGCAGCAGUGGGGAAUAUUGGACAAUGGGCGCAAGCCUGAUCCAGCCAUACCGCGUGGGUGAAGAAGGCCUUCGGGUUGUAAAGCCCUUUUGUUGGGAAAGAAAAGCAGCAGGUUAAUACCCCGCUGUUCUGACGGUACCCAAAGAAUAAGCACCGGCUAACUUCGUG
rnacentral:rRNA from 1 species